ensembl:lncRNA
GCGCGUAAAGCGGCCGGUAAACGUUAAGCGCCGAACCUUCGGCGGCGUCGCGUGGCGUUUCGCUCGUUCAAAGCCUAACUUCCGCGAGCUGCGGGCUGCUGCUCGUCCAGGCUGCGACGCCGUGUGCUGAAGGACGGUACCCGGGCGUUAGGUGAAGGCAGCGCGGUUUGGUCCUCCGCUCCUUCAGGCGCGUGUAAUACGGGCCGGGCUGCUCAAAGCCCCAACCCCGUUGUGGAGCAAAGUAAGGACUGAGGCAAACGGAGCCGCAGGAUGGAGCUGCGCACGGACUGCGUGUGCAAAGCCGGUGGAGAAUUCCCUCCCGAGGGCAGGGAAGGGAUACGACAUUGCGUCGCGGCAGCUCACUAAGCUCCCCAGUGGACUCACACACCCAAUCUGUGGCACAGCAAACCGUGCCGUGCCUCGGCUGCUGAGAGGUGCAAACUUGGAGGCAAUGGGGCAGCGCACGCACCUGACUUUUAGGUCCUUCCUGUAAAACAUACUGAC